AGUAAACUUGAGAAGCCCCAUUACUGGUGGGAAUUCUCUGGCGCUUCUCCACAUAUGCUGAGGGGAACCACCCACAUUUUCCUUUACAUUCUCCUUCUGACCAUCCGGUUGGGCUCACCUUUCGCACGACAACAUAAUCACCCACUUCCAAGCUCAGCUCCUUCUCCGUUUCUGCAAUGAAAGGAUGUGUUGCUUCAGCCAAGAAGUACAUGGUUU
rnacentral:misc_RNA from 1 species